rnacentral:rRNA from 1 species
CAAUAGCGUAUACUAACGUUGUUGCAGUUAAAAGCUCGUAGUUGGAUUUCUGGUCGGUGACGUUUAGGUGUGGCCUCGUUGCUCCACUGAGCGUUCAUUGAUCAAAAUUUGUCACAACUCGUCAUUAUCCGUUCAUUCGGAUGGGGCGACUAAUGACUCGUUUACUUUGAGAAAAUUAGAGUGUUCAAAGCAGGCAAUUGCCUUGAAUAUGUUAGCAUGGAAUAAUAACAUAGGACUUCAGUUCUAUUUGUUGGUUGUUCGAGAAUUGGAGUAAUGAUUGAUAGGGACGGUUGGGGGCAUCCGUAUUCCCAAGCGAGAGGUGAAAUUCUUGGACCUUGGGAAGACGAACAGAUGCGAAAGCGUUUGCCAAGGACGUUCUCUUUAAUCAAGAACGAAAGUUGGGGGAUCGAAGAUGAUUAGAUACCAU